GACGAACGCUGGCGGCGUGCUUAACACACGCAAGUCGAACGGAAAGGCCCUGCUUUUGUGGGGUGCUCGAGUGGCGAACGGGUGAGUCACACGUGAGUAACCUGCCCUUGACUUUGGGAUAACUUCAGGAAACUGGGGCUAAUACCGGAUAGGAGCUCCUGCUGCAUGGUGGGGGUUGGAAAGUUUCGGCGGUUGGGGAUGGACUCGCGGCUUAUCAGCUUGUUGGUGGGGUAGUGGCUUACCAAGGCUUUGACGGGUAGCCGGCCUGAGAGGGUGACCGGCCACAUUGGGACUGAGAUACGGCCCAGACUCCUACGGGAGGCAGCAGUGGGGAAUAUUGCACAAUGGGCGGAAGCCUGAUGCAGCAACGCCGCGUGCGGGAUGACGGCCUUCGGGUUGUAAACCGCUUUCGCCUGUGACGAAGCGUGAGUGACGGUAAUGGGUAAAGAAGCACCGGCUAACUACGUG
rnacentral:rRNA from 1 species